CAAACGGGCUUAUAGCAGAGCCUUCUGGGAAAUGUAGUUCCCGGCCCAGCGACCAAGGGCUCUGGCCCCGCCCCACUCUCCUUCCCACCCAUUGCUGCAAAAGGCGCUUUUAUCUCGAGAUGGAGAAAAUUUGGCACAGCGUCCCAGGUCACACAGCCAGGAAAAGGUGGAGCCAGGCUUUGAACCCAGAAUGACAGUCAAGAGACAGUGAUGACUCAGAGGUUGCCAGUGAGUUAAAGAAGUUGGCUGCCCAGCCGCAAGAGCCUGAGUAGACCGCAGCGGCGACCUUUGGUAGCAUCUCAAAAGACACCUACACGAUGGAACAUGCCCAGGGAUUUGGAAAACCGCCCUGAGCCUGUCCCAUGUGAGGACUCUCACCGGCCCUUGAGGGAUCACUUCCUGCUGGGAGCUCCGAGCAUCCUCCUCACCAUCCUCCUCCAGUUCAUCGGGGUCAGAUUUGCCUUCGGCAAUGGACAGAGAGACCCAUAUGUUAGGAUUGGUGAUGAAGUCAUUGUGGUCGUCCCUGGGGCCUCUGGACACUGGAAGCCCUCUGGGGCUCCCCACAGCUGUAUCAGCAGCAAUGUGGUUCUCAGCUUUGGAGCUGGAGAGGGGGAGUUUCAUCACCAGCUGGGGUUCUGUCUUGGGCCAGGGCAGCAGGCAAGUCCUGGUGAAGAAGCUGCAAAUGGCCUUCCUGGUACGAUAGCCAAAUGCUGGAUCCAUGCCAGGGCAACCUGCAGGUUGUUCACCUGUCCGUCUUCAUCUGGAGCUACAAGGUUGUCGGCACUGAAGGAGUUCAGCAGCAGGGUGAGAACAGGUUGAGCACCUGGAGAGAAGGAGUGGAAGCAAAGAUGGCUCCACCAAUGACGAGCUGAGUCCCUCCAUAGUCUGCCAGGUUGGCAGCCAGAGGGCAGGACAGCCACACCUGGGCCUCUCCCUGCCCACCCAACAUGCUUUCCCUCUUGGGGGAAUGGACAUUUUGAAAGCCACUGAAGGGAGUCUUGCAGAUGUCCCAGGUGACCUGCCUCAUGUGAACAAGGCUUGGAAGCACAUUUUCUGUCAUAGAGAGGGAUCACCCCUGCCAAACCAAGGGACGUUCAGGGAUAAGGGAGAGGAACACUUAUGGGUCUGCCCUGAGGCCACUGUCAUCUGCCAAAGCCCUGGGUUCUUUUCCUCACUCUGGGAUCCUGGGCAAUCUCCUUGCUGUUUCCAACUUCAUGUUCUUCCCCCAUGAGCUGGAAGUGGGGACUCCCUCCCUUUUGGAGUGGUUGUGAAGAGGAAACUACCCGAGGGCUGUAAAAGUGCUCAGGAAGGGAAACUUCCUGCCUGAGGGUUCGGGGCCCCUGUAGCUCUGCAGGCCUGCUGACCUCAGCCUGGAAGAAAGGAUCUUCAGCCAACCCCCUAACUCAGGAAUGGGGGGGAAGGCAUCUGUGGCUCCAUGCCCCAGGUGGGAAAGACUAAAAAGUCUGGAUUUGUUGUUUCAUUUCUCCUGGUUUAGCUAUCUUGUGUCUGUAAAACUCUUACAGGAAAAUAAUCCAAGCUGGUUGACUUUCAGGGCAGUAAGAAAGGGACUUCUGAGGGUCCAUAUGUCCCCCUCCAGUAGCCAGUGCUGGUGCAGCAAGGGUGCCUAGAACCACAGUGGGUGGGGGUAAGCUGAGGGCAAGGGGCCAACUAGGAUAGAGAAGGGGUGCUGGGGCCAAAUGGGGCUCCCCCAAAUGUGGAAGUGGCUUUUGUUAUUGACAUUGUGGCAUUGGAUGUGGUCCAUGACCCAGCUUCUCUCUUUCAUCUUGUCCCAUAGUGCCCACCCUCCUGCUCUUAGCUAGGACCUGUGUAUCUUAGAGAAAGCAGUCAGCUCUCACAGCACUAGAGAAAACUAUCUUCUGAGAACCCCUAGAGUGGGGAAGGAAAUUUUUCUUCAACGACUAACAGCUAACAGUUACUGAGUUCCUGUUGUGGCCUAGACACUGCACUAGGCAAUUUGCCUGUGUCAUCUCCUGUAAUCUCAUUCCCUGGGUAAGCCUCUGAGUAAGCACUAUUUUCUUGAUUGUAAGGAAAUUAAAGCUGGAGGAGAUUGUCUCUUGUGCUGGGUCUUCCAGCCUUACUAGUGGUAGAACUGGGAUUCUAAACAGGUCUUUCCACCCCUCUCCUAUGUGCUCACACCAGCAAGUCAAGUUACCUCCCAUGGGACAGUUCUUAGAACAGCCCCACAUGACUUUGCAAAGUUUGAAGAAUUACAGUCUGGGAGGUAUGAUGGGGGCAUAAAAAUGUGCAACCUCAAAGCUUUUUAGGAUAACCCAUAAGUCUCCUCCAUGGCCCCCAAGACAGUGCCCCCAGGGGGGCUCAGCACUUACCACCAGGUCCCCCAGCAGCAUCACUGUCAAGAAAAGGAUGAGGCAUAUGGGUUUCUGGCCAACUUCCAUGCAGGCCCACGUGUUCUCAGUCCACUCUCCACACAGGAUCUGGAAGAUGAUGAGGAAGGAGUGGAAGAGGUCGUGCAUGUGCCAGCAUGGCCGUUCUUCCCUGGGCGCGGAGAUAUUAUGCCGGUUGUCCCAGUAAUUAUCCCCAUGUAUCUGCUUGCCCACCAGAGCGAAGACAAAGACAAUGAUGGCCAGGAUGAUGGUGAGGUUCCCCAGCGCUCCCACCGAGUUCCCGAUGAUCUUGAUGAGCAUGUUUAAGGUUGGCCAGGACUUGGCUAGCUUGAAGACCCACAGCUGCAGAGAAACAGAGACUGUCACGUCCUGGCUGUUCUUCUCAUCACCUUUCAUCUCCAGUCUUGACCCAAAACCAAGGGUCAGGGAGAAGCACAAGGCAGCUCAUUUCGUUAAGAUGGGGGUGCUCCCAGGAAGCUGCUUUUCGAGACCUUUCUUUCUGUCA